GGCGCUUUGGCGGAGUGGUUAACGCGAUGCCCUGCUAUUGUUCGCACCAAUAGAUAAGGCAUUUCCUUCGGGAGCGCAGGUUCGAAUCCUGCAGGCGUCG